AGAGUUUGAUCCUGGCUCAGGAUGAACGCUGGCGGCACGCUUAACACAUGCAAGUCGAACGAGAGAAGAGGAGCUUGCUUUUCUGAUCUAGUGGCGGACGGGUGAGUAACACGUGAGCAAUCUGCCUUUCAGAGGGGGAUACCGAUUGGAAACGAUCGUUAAUACCGCAUAACAUAAUUGAACCGCAUGAUUUGAUUAUCAAAGAUUUAUCGCUGAAAGAUGAGCUCGCGUCUGAUUAGCUAGUUGGUAAGGUAACGGCUUACCAAGGCGACGAUCAGUAGCCGGACUGAGAGGUUGAUCGGCCACAUUGGGACUGAGACACGGCCCAGACUCCUACGGGAGGCAGCAGUGGGGAAUAUUGCACAAUGGAGGAAACUCUGAUGCAGCGAUGCCGCGUGAGGGAAGAAGGUUUUAGGAUUGUAAACCUCUGUCUUCAGGGACGAAAAAAGACGGUACCUGAGGAGGAAGCUCCGGCUAACUACGUGCCAGCAGCCGCGGUAAUACGUAGGGAGCGAGCGUUGUCCGGAAUUACUGGGUGUAAAGGGAGCGUAGGCGGGAUCGCAAGUCAGAUGUGAAAACUAUGGGCUUAACCCAUAAACUGCAUUUGAAACUGUGGUUCUUGAGUGAAGUAGAGGUAAGCGGAAUUCCUAGUGUAGCGGUGAAAUGCGUAGAUAUUAGGAGGAACAUCAGUGGCGAAGGCGGCUUACUGGGCUUUAACUGACGCUGAGGCUCGAAAGCGUGGGGAGCAAACAGGAUUAGAUACCCUGGUAGUCCACGCCGUAAACGAUGAUUACUAGGUGUGGGGGGACUGACCCCUUCCGUGCCGCAGCAAACGCAAUAAGUAAUCCACCUGGGGAGUACGACCGCAAGGUUGAAACUCAAAGGAAUUGACGGGGGCCCGCACAAGCAGUGGAGUAUGUGGAUUAAUUCGAAGCAACGCGAAGAACCUUACCAGGUCUUGACAUCGUAUGCAUAGCUCAGAGAUGAGUGAAAUCUCUUCGGAGACAUAUAGACAGGUGGUGCAUGGUUGUCGUCAGCUCGUGUCGUGAGAUGUUGGGUUAAGUCCCGCAACGAGCGCAACCCUUACUGUUAGUUGCUACGCAAGAGCACUCUAGCAGGACUGCCGUUGACAAAACGGAGGAAGGUGGGGAUGACGUCAAAUCAUCAUGCCCCUUACGACCUGGGCCUCACACGUACUACAAUGGCUGUCAACAGAGGGAAGCAAAGCCGCGAGGUGGAGCGAACCCCUAAAAGCAGUCUUAGUUCGGAUUGUAGGCUGCAACCCGCCUACAUGAAGUCGGAAUUGCUAGUAAUCGCAGAUCAGCAUGCUGCGGUGAAUGCGUUCCCGGGCCUUGUACACACCGCCCGUCACGCCAUGGGAGUCGGUAACACCCGAAGCCUGUAGUCUAACCGCAAGGAGGACGCAGUCGAAGGUGGGAUUGAUGACUGGGGUGAAGUCGUAACAAGGUA
rnacentral:rRNA from 1 species